CCUACGGGGGGCAGCAGUGGGGGAUAUUGCACAAUGGGGGGAACCCUGAUGCAGCGACGCCGCGUGGGUGAAGAAGCGCCUCGGCGCGUAAAGCCCUGUCAGCAGGGAAGAAAAUGACGGUACCUGAAGAAGAAGCCCCGGCUAACUACGUGCCAGCAGCCGCGGUAAUACGUAGGGGGCAAGCGUUAUCCGGAUUUACUGGGUGUAAAGGGAGCGUAGACGGCGCGGCAAGUCUGAAGUGAAAGGCAGGGGCUUAACCCCUGAACUGCUUUGGAAACUGCCAUGCUAGAGUGCUGGAGAGGUAA
rnacentral:rRNA from 1 species